GCAGGAGCCACCUGUGGGUGGAGGGCCAGAUUAUCCGUGGUCCUGUGGCCCUCCUCACCCCCGCCUCCUUUGUUCAGUUCCCAAGGAGAUGGGGGUAGAGGUGUUGGUGACCCCAGGGGAGACUUGGGCUAUUUGUGUCCUUUCUUUCAAGGCUGGUCAUCUGUAGUCGAAGUGGAGGUCGUUCUUGAUGCCCCCACUUUGUGGGCUGCCCAAAUCCCACUGGCCUGUCCUGGGACUCCCCCUUUUACCUCCUUCCAACUGAUUUUGGGGGGCUGCAGCUCGGGCACUUUCCCAGCUGGGGCACUCAGCAACCUUCCCAUGGCUCGGGACCACAGCUGGCCCAGGGCAGGGGAGGCACCAAGCUGAAGGACCCCCCAGGACCUAAAUCUGGGACCUGCUCCUGCCUUAUGGCUUGGCCCUGUUACCUGCUCUUGGAGCUGGGGGCCUGUGCCCACCGCUGACACUCUUGCCCUAUGCACUGCCCGACUAGCUGGCCAGGCCUUCCCCAGUGAAGGCCCCCAUUCAGUCAGAGCCAGGGCCUCCUCAGAGGGCAGCCUGGGCAUCACAGCCUUGGGAUAGGGUUCACUCAGAAGCGUGCUGGGGCAACCCCCUCACCACCCCUCAUCAGUGGGCAAUGGAUUCAGUCUGUGCCGGCCCGGGAGUGCGUGAGCAGGUCCCAAGGGAGCUGUCUCUGCUUGACCCUCCAUGGUUCCAGAGUAGCAGCUGAGACAUGAAAGAACCAAGGUAGAACAAUGCCAGGUGGCCAACGGCAGAACCGGUCCCAACCAGAAAGGUCCAAGAUGGCGAUGGGGUGCCCUGCGCAAAACGAAACGUGUGCCAAAGGUGCCAUGUGCAGGAAAGGAAGGUCAGCGCAUGCCCCAAGUGCUCCUGCCCCAGCGACGACGUGGAGACCCCUCCCCCUGCACAUCCCGUAAGAGCCUGGCUCACCUGCCCUUCUGGGAGAAGGUGCUUUAGAGCUGACCCCGGCCUCCUCCAUCCACUGAUGGGUGAAUAACGCUUCUGCUCUGCUAUUCUGAA
rnacentral:lncRNA from 1 species